UUGGCGACCAGACACGUAACGAUAGAACCAAAAGUCAAAUUCGGUUUAACGUCGAAAUCUGGUUUAACAAGUGUUGGUCCACUCCUGGCGCCGCCAUCGAAAACUCGAGUCAUUUUGCAACUAGUAUUAUACAUUUAUUCAUACCUAAAGUGAUGGCGAAUCAACCCAAUUUAAGUCGAGAAGGGUUCCAGAAACUCGAAUUUGUUGGUCGUCAGGGUGAUCAACUUGUCUAUCACGGGCCUAAUCAGAAAGUAAUAAUGCUGGAUGUUCAAACAGUAAACCGGUUGGGAACACCCAGUCGACCAAGGAAAAGAAGUAAUCCAGCUCGGAAUUCAGAAGAAGAUGUUUGGAGUGGACACCGAUCUUCAGACAAGACUCAAGACAAAUUAGCCACUGCCAAACUGAUAGAUAUCCUAAAAAACUAUCAAGAUAAUGGUGAGCUAUUCACUAACAAAAAGAUGAGGAAAAAAGAAGUAUGGGUUGAAAUAGCUUCACAACUCAUGGCUGAAGGUUUCCAUUUCCGUAACAAAGAGAGCGCCUGGGAAAAAGUCAGUCAAAAAUGGCGAAACAUGGAGCGCAACUUACCGUAUGCACGUACAAAACAUUCGUAACAAAGGGUUGGCUCCAGGCGCGGCAACCAUGGAGUUCUUUGAUGAUCUACACGAACUCCUUGCUGGAAAGUACAACACAGAGUCGAUGCUGAUAUCGGAUAGUUCGUCAGGUUUCGAUACCAGCUACCCGAAUCAGAACGAUGGUGACGAUACCCAACAUUCUGCAGAGAUGACGAACGAAGAACUUCUUGAAUAUUACUACGAGGAGCAGCUACAGCGAGAAGAUUCAAAUGUGACAUCUGAAGCAGGACCGCCUCAUAUGGAUGCAGAAUUGUGUGAUACUUACGUCGAAGAUGAAUUACCGCCAUCGCCCACUUUCUCCGACAACAAAGAUCUAGUCUUCUCCUCCUCAGAUCAGGAAAUCAGUAUAUCCCGUGAUCCUCACACUGCCGGAGUUAAAGAUCCCGUCCUUCGCCUUUUACUGGAAAUGAGGGCUCAAGAACGAGCACACUUCCGCGAAGACCGACGUGAACGGCUGAAAAUGCAGCGGGAUAUUUUCGAUUUUCACCGCGAUUUGAUCCACUUGCUCAAUCAACAUCAUCAAGAAAGAAUGGAAGUCAUGCACAAUCUCAUCGCAGCUAUCGGUGGAGCGUCUACUGUCAAACAGACCAACAAUGUCAUACCCAAUGGCGAUCAUAAAGAUGACGUGAGCUUACCUCUCAGCUCCUCUCGUCACAACCACCUUUCCUAGAGAUCAACGACUCUAGAAGAAAGAAAAAAAGAAUCCAGGCAAAGACCAAAUAAUAAAAUAAAGGCUUCAGUUCUUUCAAUUAUAAUAUAAACCCCCCCACUCUUUUUGUUGAAUUGGACUUCUUUAUUACUAGAUCGUAUCGUUACGACCAAUACAAAUUUCUUUGUUCAGA